rnacentral:rRNA from 1 species
GCCCAGACUCCUACGGGAGGCAGCAGUGAGGAAUAUUGGUCAAUGGCCGAGAGGCUGAACCAGCCAAGUCGCGUGAGGGAAGACGGCCCUACGGGUUGUAAACCUCUUUUGUCAGGGAGCAAAGUCACCCACGUGUGGGUGUUGGAGAGUACCCGGAGAAAAAGCAUCGGCUAACUCCGUGCCAGCAGCCGCGGUAAUACGGAGGAUGCGAGCGUUAUCCGGAUUUAUUGGGUUUAAAGGGUGCGUAGGCGGACGCUUAAGUCAGCGGUAAAAUUGCGGGGCUCAACCUCGUCGAGCCGUUGAAACUGGGUGCCUUGAGUGGGCGAGAAGUACGCGGAAUGCGUGGUGUAGCGGUGAAAUGCAUAGAUAUCACGCAGAACUCCGAUUGCGAAGGCAGCAUACCGGCGCCCAACUGACGCUGAAGCACGAAAGCGUGGGUAUCGAACAGGAUUAGAUACCCCGGUAC